rnacentral:lncRNA from 1 species
GCGUUUUUAAUUACCCGCACGGCUGCUCCCUCCCAUUAGCGUGGGAAAUGAAGGGUUGAGCGUUUAGCACUUACAGUGAUAAUCCCAGCGCAAAACUUUCAGAACAACCCAUUGAUCCCCACGUCCGAUGGAUAUGAGCCUGCUUCAGGUGGCUUGAGCUAGCUCCGUGGCGUCUUCACUGUUUGGAAUGGAGGAAGCUCAAACCCAGCAAGCAUCCCAAGCCAAGCAAGCUGCACAGGGCCGGCAUCUGGGAUGUGAAAAUCUAACUGGCCAGACUUGGAGGGCAUGCAAGGACAACGGCCGUCUCAAGGACACACACACUGGAUGGGCAGGUGCCUUGUGCAGUCAGGACAAGUGUUCCGGAGCCUGGCAGCUGGGGCCUGUCUGGGAGGUCGCAUGACCUCUGCUUUCCUCGUUAGCUUCAGGUUUGACAGAGGCCAGAGCCCCACUUUCAUCUGGGGCUGCCAUCAGGGGUGAGUCACCCCUUGAGAGGCAGUCUGUACACUCAGCUGCCAACCAACUACAUGAGGACAGAGCUACCCACUGCACCAUGUACUCACUG